AACGAACGCUGGCGGCGUGCCUAACACAUGCAAGUCGAACGAGACCUUCGGGUCUCGUGGCGCACGGGUGCGUAACGCGUGGGAACCUGCCCUUAGGUUCGGAAUAACUCCCCGAAAGGGGUGCUAAUACCGGAUAAUGUCUUCGGACCAAAGAUUUAUCGCCUUUGGAUGGGCCCGCGUUGGAUUAGCUAGUUGGUAGGGUAAAAGCCUACCAAGGCGACGAUCCAUAGCUGGUCUGAGAGGAUGAUCAGCCACACUGGGACUGAGACACGGCCCAGACUCCUACGGGAGGCAGCAGUGGGGAAUAUUGGACAAUGGGCGAAAGCCUGAUCCAGCAAGGCCGCGUGAGUGAUGAAGUCCUGAGGGUUGUAAAGCUCUUUUACCCGGGAUGAUAAUGACAGUACCGGGAGAAUAAGCACCGGCUAACUCCGUG
rnacentral:rRNA from 1 species